GAUGAACGCUGGCGGCGUGCCUAAUACAUGCAAGUCGAGCGAACAGACGAGGAGCUUGCUCCUCUGACGUUAGCGGCGGACGGGUGAGUAACACGUGGAUAACCUACCUAUAAGACUGGGAUAACUUCGGGAAACCGGAGCUAAUACCGGAUAAUAUAUUGAACCGCGUGGUUCAAUAGUGAAAGACGGUUUUGCUGUCACUUAUAGAUGGAUCCGCGCCGCAUUAGCUAGUUGGUAAGGUAACGGCUUACCAAGGCAACGAUGCGUAGCCGACCUGAGAGGGUGAUCGGCCACACUGGAACUGAGACACGGUCCAGACUCCUACGGGAGGCAGCAGUAGGGAAUCUUCCGCAAUGGGCGAAAGCCUGACGGAGCAACGCCGCGUGAGUGAUGAAGGUCUUAGGAUCGUAAAACUCUGUUAUUAGGGAAGAACAAAUGUGUAAGUAACUAUGCACGUCUUGACGGUACCUAAUCAGAAAGCCACGGCUAACUACGUG
rnacentral:rRNA from 1 species